rnacentral:lncRNA from 1 species
CUGCAGGGUUGGAAGGGCAGAGUCAUCGGCGCCCUAUCCACAUGGAAACCUAGCUAGAACUUUAGAGACAUGUUGCCUGGUACAUUUCAUCACUUUUUUCUUUGAUCGAAUUUUCAUCACUUUUUUCUGUUCUGUUGUAUCUGAUAUUCUGAUGCUUAUGUUGUUGAAUUUUGACCCUUUGCUGGGAGCAGAGUUGAUGGAUAUUUUUGCUGAACUUGACUAGAACAGAAGCUUCUUGCAUAUGUUUUGUACCAAAUGAAGCAUGUGUAUUGCAAACUGUUUGUUUGUUCCUUGAAUCGGUAGCGCUGAUUUUUCAUUUCUCAGUUCAAUGAAAGGUGCAUAUGAGCUGCUGAGUGAUAUAUUAGCUGUGGCGUAAAUGAUAAAAUUCGUGUGGAUUAUUCGUGUGC